rnacentral:rRNA from 1 species
UACGAAGGGGGCUAGCGUUGCUCGGAAUCACUGGGCGUAAAGGGUGCGUAGGCGGGUCUUUAAGUCAGGGGUGAAAUCCUGGAGCUCAACUCCAGAACUGCCUUUGAUACUGAAGAUCUUGAGUCCGGGAGAGGUGGAGUGGAAACUGCGAGUGUAGAGGUGAAAUUCGUAGAUAUUCGCAAGAACACCAGUGGCGAAGGCGGCUCACUGGCCCGGUACGUGACG